UGAUGUACUUGGCUUCCUUGUUCAAAUCAAUGAACCAGAAUGGGUUCAUUUUGCUAACCAAGCAACGCCUGCAUUGCGAAGGGACAUUGUCAUUAGAGAUGACAAGCAUGUGGAACUAAAAGUAUCUAUAUGGGGUCGUCGUGUUAGAGAUUUCUUGCCCACUGAUAUGGCAAUAGAAUCUAACAAUAAUCCCAUUAUUCUGCUUCUAACUGGAUGUUUAGUCAAGUUAUACCAAGGCCAACCUUACCUGAGUGGAAAUUCUGCAUGCCAUUGGUAUUUUAAUCCAAAUAUACCUGAAGCUGAAGUUCUACUCAGAUCCUUGCAUGGAAGUGACAUAGCAAUAAGACGUGUUGGUACUCCUCUUGUUGAUG